rnacentral:tRNA from 1 species
GGUUCCAUCGUUUAUGUGGAUAAGAUACCUCCCUGUCACGGAGGAGUACAGGGUUCGAACCCCUGUGGGACCG